AGAGCGAACGCUGGCGGCAGGCCUAACACAUGCAAGUCGAACGGACCCUUCGGGGUUAGUGGCGGACGGGUGAGUAACACGUGGGAACGUGCCUUUUGGUUCGGAAUAGCUCCUGGAAACGGGUGGUAAUGCCGAAUGUGCCCUUCGGGGGAAAGAUUUAUCGCCAUUAGAGCGGCCCGCGUCUGAUUAGCUAGUUGGUGAGGUAAUGGCUCACCAAGGCGACGAUCAGUAGCUGGUCUGAGAGGAUGACCAGCCACAUUGGGACUGAGACACGGCCCAAACUCCUACGGGAGCAGCAGUAGGAAUAUUGGACAAUGGGCGAAAGCCUAGAUCCAGCAAUGCCGCGUGAGUGAUGAAGGCCGUUAGGGUUAGUAAAGCUUCUUUUACCCGAGUAUGAAUAAUGAACAGUAGUCGGAAGAA
rnacentral:rRNA from 1 species